rnacentral:misc_RNA from 1 species
UUUCCGUAGGUGAACCUGCGGAAGGAUCAUUAAUGUGUUUGGGCCUCACGGCUCUUCAUUCCGACGCUGUGCGCCUUCGGGCUGCACGCUGAGGGAGCAUAUAUCCACCCCUGUGCACACACACGGUGGCGAGCUGGGUAACGGCUCGCCGCUGAUCUUUACACACGUCUAAAAGUCAUUGUAUGUUUAUUUGAGAUAAAAACACAACUUUCAGCAACGGAUCUCUUGGCUCUCGCAUCGAUGAUGAACGCAGC